rnacentral:tRNA from 1 species
GUUCCUGUAGUGUAGUGGUUAUCACGUUUGCUUUACACGCAAAAGGUCUCUGGUUCGAAACCAGACAAAAGCA